rnacentral:lncRNA from 1 species
AUCAGAAGUCCAAGCACAUCGAGUGGCGAUUCCAUCUGAUCCGUGAUUACCUUGAAAAAGAUUAUGUCAAUCAAGAGAGUCGACUCCAUAGACAAUGUAGCAGACCCACUGACUAAGCCAUUGGGCCAACAGAAGAUCGAAGCCCAUCUUGAGAAGAUGGGAUUUAGAUAUGUAGCCAAUUGGCAUUAGGUCAAGUGGGAGUUUGUUAGAUGUGUGCCCUAGAUGCC